UUGUCGACCUGAAGACAACAAGUGAAUCACCGCCAAGAUGAAGUGGAUCGUUUUCUCUCUUUUGCUUCUGUCGGCGUUGAUAGUGAUAACAGAAGGUCUACCACAAAGAUGGCAGUUAGAUAAGGACGUCUUCCGUUUUCCCACCAGACCACUUCAUCCGGUUCCGUGCAUCUGUGUGACGCAGCCGUGCCCUUGCGACAACUGGCCUCGUUUCGACGACUUCGGAAUACGGCAAUAAUUAUGUAUAU